CCUACGGGUGGCAGCAGUAGGGAAUCUUCGGCAAUGGACGGAAGUCUGACCGAGCAACGCCGCGUGAGUGAAGAAGGUUUUCGGAUCGUAAAGCUCUGUUGUAAGAGAAGAACGAGUGUGAGAGUGGAAAGUUCACACUGUGACGGUAUCUUACCAGAAAGGGACGGCUAACUACGUGCCAGCAGCCGCGGUAAUACGUAGGUGGCAAGCGUUGUCCGGAUUUAUUGGGCGUAAAGCGAGCGCAGGCGGUUAGAUAAGUCUGAAGUUAAAGGCUGUGGCUUAACCAUAGUACGCUUUGGAAACUGUUUAACUUGAGUGCAGAAGGGGAGAGUGGAAUUCCAUGUGUAGCGGUGAAAUGCGUAGAUAUAUGGAGGAACACCGGUGGCGAAAGCGGCUCUCUGGUCUGUAACUGACGCUGAGGCUCGAAAGCGUGGGGAGCAAACAGGAUUAGAUACCCUGGUAGUC
rnacentral:rRNA from 1 species